UACGUAGGCAGCGAGCGUUGUUCGGAGUUACUGGGCGUAAAGAGUAUGUAGGCGGUUCUGUAAGUUUGGUGUGAAAUCUCCCGGCUCAACUGGGAGGGUGCGCCGAAAACUGCAGGGCUAGAGUGUGGGAGAGGAAAGCGGAAUUCCUGGUGUAGCGGUGAAAUGCGUAGAUAUCAGGAGGAACACCGGCGGUGUAGACGGCUUUCUGGACCAUUACUGACGCUGAGAUACGAAAGCGUGGGGAGCAAACAGG
rnacentral:rRNA from 1 species